CCUACGGGUGGCUGCAGUGGGGAAUAUUGGACAAUGGGGGGAACCCUGAUGCAGCGACGCCGCGUGAGUGAAGAAGUAUUUCGGUAUGUAAAGCUCUAUCAGCAGGGAAGAAAGAAAUGACGGUACCUGACUAAGAAGCCCCGGCUAACUACGUGCCAGCAGCCGCGGUAAUACGUAGGGGGCAAGCGGUAUCCGGAUUUACUGGGUGUAAAGGGAGCGUAGACGGUUACGCAAGUCUGGAGUGAAAGGCGGGGGCCCAACCCCCGGACUGCUUUGGAAACUGUAUAACUGGAGUGCAGGAGAGGUAAGUGGAAUUCCUAGUGUAGCGGUGAAAUGCGUAGAUAUUAGGAGGAACACCAGUGGCGAAGGCAGUUCACUGGACUGCAACUGACACUGAGGCUCGAAAGUGUGGGUAUCAAACAGGAUUAGAUACCCGAGUAGUC
rnacentral:rRNA from 1 species